UGGAAAGGAAAGCUCGUGGCCACCA
rnacentral:piRNA from 1 species